GUGAUCUCCAAGUUCUGAGACUGACAUGGUGGCAACUGGUGGGGUGAUGUCUUCACCUCAAGGCGCCCCAACUGUAUACUCAACAACACCCUUGGCAGAAUCAGUAUUGAUCUCUUCUGGGAUGAUGUGUGACAUGUGAAAUGUUAAUGCUUCUGGACAGCUUUGGAUACACAAAACUAGUACGUGUGUCAAUUGCCGCUGUAUUCACACCAGCCGCCAUGGGAUCACACGCUGUGCAGAAGCGCCAAGCCGAAAACAUCGAUGUUGAUCCUCAACAACCAGCAUCUUGAUUGGUUUUCGAAUCUGCCUGUGUCAUGGUGGAGCACCGUUCUGGGCAUGUCCAGGUGAGUUAUGGAGGGAUGGCUUUGGGUGGUAUAUAGGGUCCCUGUACCCAUUCCUGGCUGAUACUGUUCCCUUGCUCUGCUUCCCAGCAGCCAUGAACUAAGCAGCUUGCUCCACUAUGCCCUCCCACCAUGAAGUUCGACCUUGGAACCAGCUGACUGGAUGUGCUGAAACCGUGACCCAAAUUAACCCUCUGCUCUAUGGUGUGGGUGCUGGGUAUUGUGUCCAGCAAUGGGAAAGCUGAUUGGUACAGGGGUUAAGGACGAUACACAAUCAUGUGAGUGUGCAGUGUUUUAUGAAGUGUCAGUAACAAAGUUUUCUUCCUCACAGUGUCUUCCUUAUGGUAUUGGGGGUCUUCCACCUGUCUUCUAAGGGUGAUUCAUUCUUUUAUAUAGACAGGAGAGAGGGAAAAAAAAAACCUGCCCCUUAAAAUCAUAACUGAACAUAAAAUUUA
rnacentral:lncRNA from 1 species